rnacentral:rRNA from 1 species
CCUACGGGUGGCAGCAGUAGGGAAUUUUCGUCAAUGGGCGCAAGCCUGAACGAGCGAUGCCGCGUGAGUGAAGAAGCCCUUCGGGUCGUAAAGCUCUGUCGCGGGGGAAAAAAGGCAGCAUCAGGAAAUGGGUGCUGACUGAUGGUGCCCGGCCAGACAGUCACGGUUAACUACGUGCCAGCAGCCGCGGUAAUACGUAGGUGGCGAGCGUUAUCCGGAAUGAUUGGGCGUAAAGGGUGCGCAGGCGGGCCUGCACGUCCGGAGUGCAACGCAUGGGCUCAACUCAUGCAUGGCUUUGGAAACUGGGGGACUGGAGAGCAGGAGAGGGAGGUGGAACGCCAGGUGUAGCGGUAAAAGGCGUAGAUAUAUGGAAGAACACCAGUGGCGAAGGCGGCCGCCUGGCCUGUUGCUGACGCUGAGGCACGAAAGCGUGGGGAGCAAAUAGGAUUAGAUACCCGAGUAGUC